AUAUAGGUCUUUCUCAAGUGCAUCUCUGGAGAAAUAAUAGGAGAUGCACUUGAGAAAGACCUAUAU